GUUGGACCGGAAGCGAUGUUUGAUUUAGGCUAAAAUAUCAAUGCCCGGCUUUGUACCUGAUAGGAACAAGCUCGGCUUCUCCUAAACACAUUUCAUUACUCCAGCAACAGCAGGAUGGAUGGGCAUCAUCACAAUAACAUCUGACAGCUGUCGGUGAGUUUUUAAGUCGUGUGGCCAGAAAGUGGCAGAUGCGGCUGGUGUCCAGCUGCAGCCGGCCUUCUCAAUGGUCUCUCCCACUAUGAAAGCGUUGGUGGAUGCUGUAUGGGCGGUGUGGAGCAUCGGGGCCUCCAUUUAUGACUACAUCCACACCAAUGCUAUGGAGGAGCGCAUCCAUGCCCUGGAGGACGUCAUCACCAUCCACCAGUGUGUGAUUGGACUUCUGUCCGCAGGCGUAUUGGUACUCCUUACCUACAUUCUUUUCAAGAAGAUCUGAAGAUGUAUGAAGGGGUGGGCUGUGGGUGACAUGGGGGAGGUUGACUGACCAUAAUUAAACGUUAGUGUCCAGCGUGCUAACAAACACUGACCAGAUAAACAAAGGGGAACUUUUACUCAUUGGGUACAUCAGACCAGCUCAUUAGAUGUUGAAGACGGCUCAAACUCCUUUUGACCUGAUGUCCGUUACUUUCCACAUUCUUUGUGUUGGAAUUUUAAACUCUGGUUAAUUUAUAUUAUUGACUAUGGUCAACUGCUCCUCAGAUCUCUGCAGGGUAAAUCCAGACAGCUAGCUAGACCAUCUGUCCAAUCUGAGUUUUCUGUUGCACAACUAAAACAACUUUUGAACAUACACGUUCCACCAAAACAAGUUCCAUCCCGAAGCUAUUUUGCAGCGGUGCCCCGGCUCUGUCCCAAGACAAUUGGGAUUGGUUUGAAGAAAUGCCAAUAAACCAGAGCAUGUUUGUCUCCUAUCUGGGAUGCUGUGUUUACUAGCCUGACCCUUCUCCACAGCGCUGUGUAGGAAGGUCUGGCAAAGAGUGACUCCAUGGGACCUAACACAUGCAUGGGCGUUAAGUAACUUUUCAAAUGCCAGUCUGUUUUUGGGGGAAACACAUUGAGGUUCAUGUCCUCUCUCAGUAAAGGAGUAAAGGAUUGUGGAGGAGGUAGUCUUGCAUUGCUACCCAUCUCCACAGCGCUAUCAGCACUGGAGUGUGGUCUGGCUACAUCCCUUACCUAUUCUGGGAUAGAAGGAUAGAUAACGCUGUGGCUUAUUUGUAUUUCUUAAACCAAUCACAAUCGUCCUGGGUGGUGCUAAGCCCCGGAUGCAAUGACUGUGCCCUUGCAAAAUAGAUAGCAGAAGAGGAGGGACGCGCAGGGUGUUAGGCUUUAUCCCAGCAACGUACACCCGGGGAGCCAGACAGAAGAGGUCAGCAUGCGGAGAUACAGUCCAGCUGUUUUUAAAGGGCAGCAGACUAUAGAUUUGAUGUGUCAAUAUUCAAUAUUUUUAAAUUUGUAUUUAAAAUGAAUGGCAUUACUUCUAAAAAGGAUUAAUUGUUCCCUCCAAAAUGUUAUCUAUUACAGGCCUCUGACGAAGCAAUUCAACCAUCAUGGUACAUUGUGACUCAGCAGCUCAUCACAAGUUUUGUUGGCUUAAGCUGUUGACUAAAAUAUUUUUAUUUUCUUAGGUUUUUUUCUCUGAUACAAAAACACCCAGUGUCAGCAGCACAGACACUCCAUUAUAUUAGCAGUAAACUGGCUAAUUUUCAAUUUGUUUUGAAGUAGCAAACCAGUACCCAACCCUGUCAGUGACACACACACACACUUACCUUAAUUUACAUAGAGAAGACUUCAGAUGACAGUAUGAGUCUGGGCAUUGCCUCAGCAUAGUCACACAUUUUCUAAAGGGAUCUUAAUUGAAAAUAAUCAUUUGCUAUAACGUUUGCCUUAAAGCAUAUUGAUUUUACUCUCUGUGUUAUUUUUGCACUAAUUUCCUUAAAGCCUGACUGAGAUAUAAGGAGAAGCUAAUUCCUCUGAAACUAGUGUUGAGUGCAGAGGUACUUAAUAUAUCUCAAGGAUCAUUGAUAGUGUCAUUUCUAUAAAUAUUUUAAUUUAUAUCAUGCUUAAUUGAUAUACAUGGUUAUCUUAUGAACAUCUCUUACAAUGAAUAGGAGGCAAUUAAGAAGGGUUGUAACACCUUUACAUUGUCGAUUCCUGCAAGCAUUUUUUAAAUUUUGUUUUGGCAUUUCAGAUUAGUAUUAUCUAUAUUAUCGGUCUGAAAGUGCAACUUCAUGAUCCAUUUAUAUAAUGUUUUUAAAAUUAACGUCUUGUUGUACCUCACAGCUGUUACAUUACUGUAGGUGCCACUGCAGGCACACAAGACAUUUUAAGUGUCCUUAAAAAGUAAUUGUAAAUAGAUUUAGAUGUUUUUGGAUAGUUUUUUUAGCCGGCCAUGGUACCGUUUCACAGAUGCUAUCCCAUAGUACCACUGCUGCUCAAUGUUUAUUUUUUAAAGGCAAAAUUUUGUACUAUGAAAGGCGGGAAUCUCAAUGAGAUAAUUCUUGUACUGACUGCAAACACUGGAUCAAAGUGUGACAUGAGAAUUUUAGAGGAUGAAGGAUGUUUUUGUCACAGUAACUUAAAUUAACUUCACUAGCUAAGAGAAGUGUUGUGGUGGGUCACUGAAAACUACUGCAGUGUGAAUCUGUAGUUUAGGAAAAAAAAGCAGUUACCGUGUGUUUAUUUGUGCACAUUAUGUGACUAUCUCAGAGGGACCACAAAAGAGAACACCCCAGAAUGAAAUACUGUUUUAAUAUCAUAACAGCAUCAAAGUUUGUCUUCUCCAAAUGCCAAAUAAAUGUGGAAUUUAAUAAAACUGGACAUCGUUACAAUACCAACAUCCGUCUGGUAUCAAAUGCAGCACAGACUGCUAAAUGUAAAGUUGUAAAUUACAGCUGUAAAACACAACCAAUUAAAGCUGCAAACAUCAGAGGCAGCUCAAUCAAAAACAUUUCCCCCACCACUGCUGAAACAUUUGAAGAAGGAUUGGCAGGCCUUUUUCUAAUGGACAGAAAACUGCAAUACUGGCUUUCCAGUUAAAGGCAAUUAAACAAUUCAUGGAUGGGCAGAGCACCAAUCUUCUACAGGGCCAAUAGGAACACCUGCUCCGAAACAUGUGCUGCUUCUUCAGCUGCUAAACUUCUACACAGUUGUUGAACACUGGCUGUUAUCAGGACUUCCUACGUUACUUGGAUCUUUCAUGGUGACUCAUAAGUGUCCCGUCUGAACCAGAGUAUACUUGGAAGUGAACCUCUCCACGCUCUCUCCCUCCAGAAACUUCAUGGCUCUCCAGUGGAUCUUGCCACAGUUCUCCGGCUGUCCAAAGGCUCCCAGCUCCUCCUGGAUGUAAUGUAGCCACAAAUCUUCAGGGAAAUAAAAAAACAGAAAAACAUUUUAAGAUAUAAAAACAUGGAGGUGUGCAAGGAAGAUUAUUGGGUAUAUAUUCCAAUUGAUAGUUUUUUCUUUGGCUUAGAAACCAGACUAGUAGUUUUUGUGGGAUCCAGCCACAGUCCAAGAUUUUAUCCUCAAAAUAGAGCUCAGCUAUAUCUCAGUAUUUGGUAUUGGCACAUUUUUGGUGCAGUUGUUGUGUUAGAUGGAAACUUGGAAUUUAGUCCUUGAUACUUGAUUAACAACAACAUAUUGUGAAUAAAUAUUUCUAACUAUU